ACAAAUACGUUGGAUUGAUCACCAAAUUAAAGAGCUUCUUGAUCAUACGCGAGGAGAAGGGAGGUAGAGGGGAAUAUCAUAAGCCAUAUUAGGAAGAAGAAAAUAAUAUAUGAAACCAUAUUGUUAAUGCCAAGAUCAUAUGCAUGUGUGGGGGUGGUGUGGUCAUAUAUAGGAUAGGAAAGAGAUUUGGCAGCAGUACGUACGUAGAGUUCCC
rnacentral:lncRNA from 1 species